rnacentral:lncRNA from 1 species
AAAACUGACAACAACGUCUCCUUCUCUACGGAGGUUUGUAGAAAGGCUGUACAAAAAUCUCACAAGAUGUAUUUCUUCUCGUGGACUGGAGUCCCAAGGUGCUUAAGAGCUCUUCAAUUUGUUAAUGGAAAGAAACACCAUUUACACCGGAUGGCUACAAAGCAACCUUAUUCUGGAUCCAGUUGAAAAUCAGGCAUUGCAUCCAGUUAUCAUGGCUUUAAUCUUAAUGCCUUCCCUGCACUGUUUUGGGAAUAUCUUAAUACUGCUAUUUUUGAAGAGUCCAGCUCAGUUAUUCUGCAGAAUAGGGAGAUUUGAGACAGGAGAAGAGAAGACACGAAGGAGGGAAGGAAGUGAUGUGACCACAGAGGCAGCGAUUGGAGUGAUGUAGUCACAAGCCAAGGAGCACCAACAGCCACCAGGAGCUGGAAGAGCCCAAGAGUAUAUACUAAUACCUGGAUUUGGGACUUGGGACUUCUGGUCUCUAGAAGUAGGAAAGAAUAAACAUCUGUUUUUUGUU